rnacentral:rRNA from 1 species
GAGUGAUCUGUCUGCUUAAUUGCGUUUCAUAUUUACCACUGUCUCUCACGUGAGUGCUGCAAACCUCGUCUCUUUAUUGAGAGCAACGCUUCUCGUCAACUCACUCGUGUCUUCUCUUGAACGCAACGAGCGUGACCGCAACCUCUUGUUGUGAAUACCAAGUGUGUCACUGGCUUUUCUUGCUGCCUCCCUAUCAAAGCUUCUUAUUUUGAAUAA